UACGUAGGGACCAAGCGUUGUCCGGAAUUAUUGGGCGUAAAGGGUGCGUAGGCGGUUCCGCAAGUCCUGUGUGAAAUCUUCGGGCUCAACUCGAAGUCUGCACGGGAAACUGCGGGGCUUGAGUGUGGGAGAGGUGAGUGGAAUUCCCGGUGUAGCGGUGAAAUGCGUAGAUAUCGGGAGGAGCACCUGUGGCGAAAGCGGCUCACUGGACCAUAACUGACGCUGAUGCACGAAAGCUGGGGGAGCAAACAGG
rnacentral:rRNA from 1 species